GUAGGCGGUCUGUCGCGUCUGCUGUGAAAUCCCGAGGCUCAACCUCGGGCCUGCAGUGGGUACGGGCAGACUAGAGUGCGGUAGGGGAGAUUGGAAUUCCUGGUGUAGCGGUGGAAUGCGCAGAUAUCAGGAGGAACACCGAUGGCGAAGGCAGAUCUCUGGGCCGUAACUGACGCUGAGGAGCGAAAGCGUGGGGAGCGAACAGGAUUAGAUACCCUGGUAGUCCACGCCGUAAACGUUGGGCGCUAGAUGUGGGGACCAUUCCACGGUUUCCGUGUCGCAGCUAACGCAUUAAGCGCCCCGCCUGGGGAGUACGGCCGCAAGGCUAAAACUCAAAGGAAUUGACGGGGGCCCGCACAAGCGGCGGAGCAUGCGGAUUAAUUCGAUGCAACGCGAAGAACCUUACCAAGGCUUGACAUAUACGAGAACGGGCUAGAAAUAGUCAACUCUUUGGACACUCGUAAACAGGUGGUGCAUGGUUGUCGUCAGCUCGUGUCGUGAGAUGUUGGGUUAAGUCCCGCAACGAGCGCAACCCUCGUUCUAUGUUGCCAGCGCGUAAUGGCGGGAACUCAUAGGAGACUGCCGGGGUCAACUCGGAGGAAGGUGGGGAUGACGUCAAAUCAUCAUGCCCCUUAUGUCUUGGGCUUCACGCAUGCUACAAUGGCCGGUACAAAGGGCUGCAAUACCGUAAGGUGGAGCGAAUCCCAAAAAGCCGGUCUCAGUUCGGAUUGAGGUCUGCAACUCGACCUCAUGAAGUCGGAGUCGCUAGUAAUCGCAGAUCAGCAACGCUGCGGUGAAUACGUUCCCGGGCCUUGUACACACCGCCCGUCAAGUCAUGAAAGUCGGUAACACCCGAAGCCGGUGGCCUAACC
rnacentral:rRNA from 1 species